rnacentral:rRNA from 1 species
UACGUAGGGGGCGAGCGUUGUCCGGAAUUACUGGGCGUAAAGAGCGCGUAGGCGGCCUGCUAAGUCAGGUGUGAAAACUUAAGGCUCAACCUUAAGAUGGCAUUUGAAACUGACAGGCUUGAGGGCAGGAGAGGAGAGCGGAAUUCCUAGUGUAGCAGUGAAAUGCGUAGAUAUUAGGAGGAACACCAGUGGCGAAGGCGGCUCUCUGGACUGAACCUGACGCUGAGGUGCGAAAGCCAGGGGAGCAAACGGG